UACGGAGGAGGCAAGCGUUAUCCGGAAUUACUGGGCGUAAAGCGUGCGCAGGCGGUCUGUUAAGACAGAUGUGAAAUCCCCGGGCUUAACCUGGGAACUGCAUUUGUGACUGGCAGGCUAGAGUAUGGCAGAGGGGGGUAGAAUUCCACGUGUAGCAGUGAAAUGCGUAGAGAUGUGGAGGAAUACCGAUGGCGAAGGCAGCCCCCUGGGCCAAUACUGACGCUCAUGCACGAAAGCGUGGGGAGCAAACAGG
rnacentral:rRNA from 1 species